CGCGGGGUGGAGCAGCGGCAGCUCGCCGGGCUCAUAACCCGGAGGUCGUGGGUUCGAAUCCCACCCCCGCUACCA
rnacentral:tRNA from 3 species